GACGAACGCUGGCGGCGUGCUUAACACAUGCAAGUCGAGCGGUAAGGCCCUUUCGGGGGUACACGAGCGGCGAACGGGUGAGUAACACGUGGGUGACCUGCCCUCAGCUCUGGGAUAAGCCUGGGAAACCGGGUCUAAUACUGGAUAUGACUCCAUGACGCAUGUUGUGGGGUGGAAAGCCUUGUGCGGCUGAGGAUGGGCCCGCGGCCUAUCAGCUUGUUGGUGGGGUGANGGCCUACCAAGGCGACGACGGGUAGCCGGCCCGACGAGGGCGACCGGCCACACUGGGACUGAGACACGGCCCAGACUCCUACGGGAGGCAGCAGUGGGGAAUUUUUCGCAAUGGGGGAAACCCUGACGAAGCAACGCCGCGUGGAGGAU
rnacentral:rRNA from 1 species